rnacentral:lncRNA from 1 species
AUGGAAGGUGUUCAUUUUCUUAUAAACACUCUUGCCAUAUUGGCAUUUGCAACCAUCCUUGUCUCUGCCUCUGACCCUAGCCCUCUUCAGGACUUCUGUGUAGCACUUAAUGACACCAAAUCUGCUGGUAUACAAUAUAUUAUGUACUAUGUUAUAUUUUUCCCUACUAUUUAUUUUCACAUUAAUUAUUUUUGUUAGGAAGUAGGAAUAUUAUGAAGAUAUUGGUUUUCUGUUAACUAUUUAUGCUUGGCUAAAUGUGGUCCAAAUAUAAUCAUACAUAUAAUAUUGUUCACGUUAAUGUAUGCUGUCAACUUACUAAUAGUAAAAAGUGUGAUUGCUUUUUUUCUUUUGUUUUGUACAACCAGUGUUUGUGAAUGGGAAAUUCUGCAAGGACCCAAAGCUUGCCAAUGCAAAUGAUUUCUUCUUUUAUGGGGCUCCAAAUUGCAAGAAGCACACAAAAUCCACUUGGUUCAACAGUGACAGCAGUGAAUGUGGACCAAAUAGCAGGACUGAACACUCUUGGUAUAUCCCUGGCUCGCAUAGACUUUGCACGAAAUGGCCUAAACCCUCCUCAUACUCACCCUCGUGCCACCGAAAUCCUUUUAGUCUUGGAAGGAACACUCUAUGUUGGUUUCGUCACAUCGAAUGCCGAUAAUAAUCGCCUAUUCACUAAAGUGUUGAACAAGGGAGAUGUGUUUGUGUUCCCAAUUGGCCUCAUUCACUUCCAACUCAAUGUGGGAGAAGGUGACGCUGUAGCCCAAGCUGCCCUCAGCAGUCAGAACCCAGGAGUGAUAACCAUUGCAAAUGCAGUUUUUGGUUCUGACCCUCCCAUCAAUCCUGAGGUUCUAGCUAAGGCCUUCCAAGUGGACAACAAGGCGGUUGAGUAUCUCCAGAAACAGUUCUGGUACGACAACAAUAAUUAG